ACGAAGGCAGCAGUGGGGAAUAUUGCACAAUGGGGGAAACCCUGAUGCAGCGACGCCGCGUGAGUGAAGAAGUAUUUCGGUAUGUAAAGCUCUAUCAGCAGGGAAGAAAAUGACGGUACCUGACUAAGAAGCCCCGGCUAACUACGUGCCAGCAGCCGCGGUAAUACGUAGGGGGCAAGCGUUAUCCGGAUUUACUGGGUGUAAAGGGAGCGUAGACGGUAUGGCAAGUCUGAAGUGAAAUGCCAGGGCUUAACCCUGGAACUGCUUUGGAAACUGUCGUACUAGAGUGCAGGAGAGGUAAGUGGAAUUCCUAGUGUAGCGGUGAAAUGCGUAGAUAUUAGGAGGAACACCAGUGGCGAAGGCGGCUUACUGGACUGUAACUGACGUUGAGGCUCGAAAGCGUGGGGAGCAAACAGGAUUAGAUACCCUGGUA
rnacentral:rRNA from 1 species